UACGGAGGGUGCAAGCGUUAAUCGGAAUUACUGGGCGUAAAGCGUGCGUAGGCGGUUGUUUAAGUCAGAUGUGAAAGCCCUGGGCUUAACCUGGGAACUGCAUUUGAUACUGGGCAACUAGAGUUUAGUAGAGGGGAGUGGAAUUUCAGGUGUAGCGGUGAAAUGCGUAGAGAUCUGAAGGAACACCAGUGGCGAAGGCGGCUCCCUGGACUAAAACUGACGCUGAGGUACGAAAGCGUGGGUAGCAAACAGG
rnacentral:rRNA from 1 species